CACGUAGGGCGCAAGCGUUGUCCGGAAUUACUGGGCGUAAAGCGCACGUAGGCGGCUUUGUAAGUUAGAGGUGAAAGCCCAGGGCUUAACCCUGGAAUUGCCUUUAAGACUGCAUCGCUAGAAUCGUGGAGAGGUAAGUGGAAUUCCGAGUGUAGAGGUGAAAUUCGUAGAUAUUCGGAAGAACAUCAGUGGCGAAGGCGACUUACUGGACACGUAUUGACGCUGAGGUGCGAAAGCGUGGGGAGCAAACAGG
rnacentral:rRNA from 1 species